AUUGAACGCUGGCGGUAUGCUUAACACAUGCAAGUCGAACGGUAACAGGCCUUCGGGCGCUGACGAGUGGCGGACGGGUGAGUAACGCAUAGGAAUCUGCCUCAUAGUGGGGACAACGUGGGGAAACUCACGCUAAUACCGCAUACGCCCUACGGGGAAAGCGGGGAUCUUCGGACCUCGCGCUAUGAGAUGAGCCUGCGUUAGAUUAGCUAGUUGGUAGGGUAAAGGCCUACCAAGGCGACGAUCUAUAGCUGGUCUGAGAGGACGAUCAGCCACACUGGGACUGAGACACGGCCCAGACUCCUACGGGAGGCAGCAGUGGGGAAUAUUGGACAAUGGGCGCAAGCCUGAUCCAGCAAUACCGCGUGUGUGAAGAAGGCCUUAGGGUUGUAAAGCACUUUCAAUUGGGAGGAAAACCUGCCGGUCAAUACCCGGUAGCUUGACAUUACCUUAGAAGAAGCACCGGCUAACUCCGUGCCAGCAGCCGCGGUAA
rnacentral:rRNA from 1 species